AAUCAACGCUGGCGGCGUGCCUCAGACAUGCAGGUCGAACGAUUAAAGCUCUCUUCGGAGAGUGCAUAAAGUGGCGCACGGGUGAGUAACACGUAAGUAAUCUACCUUCGAGUGGGGAAUAACGUCCGGAAACGGACGCUAAUACCGCAUAAUGCAGCGGCACCUAAUGGUGACAGUUGUUAAAGAAUUUAUUCGCUUGAAGAGGAGCUUGCGGCAGAUUAGCUAGUUGGUAAGGUAAUGGCUUACCAAGGCUUCGAUCUGUAACCGGUCUAAGGGGACGGUAGGUCACACUGACACUGAAUAACGGGUCAGACUCCUACGGGAGGCAGCAGUCGGGAAUUUUGGGCAAUGGGCGAAAGCCUGACCCAGCAACGCCGCGUGAAGGAUGAAGUAUUUCGGUAUGUAAACUUCGAAAGAAUGUGAAGAAUCAAUGACGGUACCAUUUAUAAGGUCCGGCUAACUACGUGCCAGCAGCCGCGGUAA
rnacentral:rRNA from 1 species